rnacentral:rRNA from 1 species
UCGUCAGCUCGUGUCGUGAGAUGUUGGGUUAAGUCCCGCAACGAGCGCAACCCCUAUUGUUAGUUGCUAUCAUUAAGUUGAGCACUCUAGCGAGACUGCCUGGGUUAACCAGGAGGAAGGUGGGGAUGACGUCAAAUCAUCAUGCCCCUUAUGUGUAGGGCUACACACGUGCUACAAUGGCAAGUACAGAGAGACGCAAAACCGUGAGGUCGAGCAAAUCCCUUAAAACUUGUCCCAGUUCGGAUUGUAGGCUGAAACUCGCCUACACGAAGCCGGAGUUGCUAGUAAUCGCGAAUCAGAAUGUCGCGGUGAAUACGUUCCCGGGUCUUGUACACACCGCCCGUCACACCAUGAGAGUUGGCAAUACCCAACGUCCGUGAGCUAACCGCAAGGAGGCAGCGGCCUAAGGUAGGGUCAGCGAUUGGGGUGAAGUCGUAACAAGGUAACCGUA